CCCUUCGACAACAAUGUCCUGGUUCUGGACAUGGUGCUGGACUCUCUUUGGGGGUUGCCACAGCCCAUAGACUGGGACAAUGUAGCUCAACUGUUACCGGGCUUCAGUCCCAACAAGUGUGCCUGUCGAUUUGAGGCGCUGCAGAGGACUGGGGGGUUUCCAUGUGUGGAAUAUCAGUUUAAUGCCCAAACAGAAGUAAGCACCACACCAUCAGACCUGUCCACACUGCUGGACUCUGCAGAUAUAACCAAAAUAUCUGGAAGAAGCCUGUGCUGCAGUGAAGAUUCAGGCUCCAAGUCAAUCCCUUUGAGAAGAGUGGGUCCUGUUGAAAGGAAAGAGAAACGACCCUCAGCAGAAGAGGACAGUAAACCUCAAAAACCACAAGAGUAAGUCAAGAGAGUCCUAAUGUUGUGAUCCACGUGUGCGAUGAGACCAAGAACCUGAAGCAGCAUUUCACCUGUCCCAGAGAUCUUUUAGUCAAAGAGAUGCGGUACUUUUCUGAGUAUUUGUCUUUGGACCCACAGAGGUGGGAUGAGGUGGACAUCUCUGUUCACUGUGAUGUGCAGAUUUUUGACUGGCUCAUGAACUACGUCAGAAGGAAUACGACAGAAAAAGGAAACAAGGACAAACCCC